CCUACGGGAGGCAGCAGUGGGGAAUAUUGGGCAAUGGAGGAAACUCUGACCCAGCGACGCCGCGUGCGGGAUGAAGGCCUUCGGGUUGUAAACCGCUUUCAGUAGGGAAGAAGCGAAAGUGACGGUACCUACAGAAGAAGCACCGGCUAACUAUGUGCCAGCAGCCGCGGUAAUACAUAGGGUGCAAGCGUUGUCCGGAAUUAUUGGGCGUAAAGAGCUCGUAGGUGGUUCGUCACGUCGGAUGUGAAAAUCUGGGGCUCAACCCCAGACCUGCAUUCGAUACGGGCGAUCUAGGGUGUGGUAGGGGAGACUGGAAUUCCUGGUGUAGCGGUGGAAUGCGCAGAUAUCAGGAGGAACACCAAUGGCGAAGGCAGGUCUCUGGGCCAUUACUGACACUGAGGAGCGAAAGCGUGGGGAGCGAACAGGAUUAGAUACCCUGGUAGUCCACGCCGUAAACGGUGGGCACUAGUUGUGGGAACCUUCCACGGUUUCUGCGACGCAGCUAACGCAUUAAGUGCCCCGCCUGGGGAGUCGAUCGCAAGNUUAAAACUCAAAUGAAUUGA
rnacentral:rRNA from 1 species